UACGGGGGGAACAAGUGUUAUUCAUCUUGAUUGGGCGUAAAGGGCAAGUAAAUGGUUUAUUUAUUAAUUUUAUUUUUAUUUGGUAUGAAAUAAAAAUUUUUAUAAAAAUAACUAGGAUUUAUGGAGGAUGAUAGUGGAAUCUAAUAAUUAGGGUUGAAAUGCGUAAUUUAUUAGAGACCAUCAGCGGGCGAAGGCGACUAUCAAUUGUAAAUUGACAUUGAGGUGCAAAAGCUUAGGGAGCAAACAGG
rnacentral:rRNA from 1 species